CUGCAACUCGACUGCAUGAAGCUGGAAUCGCUAGUAAUCGCGAAUCAGCAUGUCGCGGUGAAUACGUUCCCGGGUCUUGUACACACCGCCCGUCACACCAUGGGAGUCGGAAAUGCCCGAAGCCAGUGACCCAACCUUUAAGGAGGGAGCUGUCGAAGGCAGGUCUGGUAACUGGGGUGAAGUCGUAACAAGGUACC
rnacentral:rRNA from 1 species